CAAGCCGGAGGAAGGAGAGGAUGACGUCAAGUCAGCAUGCCCCUUACAUCCUGGGCUACACGCGUAAUACAAUGGUAUAGACAAUCGGAAGCAACCUCGUGAGAGCAAGCGAAUCUGCUAAACUAUAUCUCAGUUCGGAUUGUAGGCUGCAACUCGCCUACAUGAAGCCGGAAUUGCUAGUAAUCGCCGGUCAGCUAUACGGCGGUGAAUACGUUCCCGGGUCUUGUACACACCGCCCGUCACAUUAGGGGAGC
rnacentral:rRNA from 1 species